AUUGAACGCUGGCGGCAGGCCUAACACAUGCAAGUCGAGCGGAGAGGCGGACGGGUGAGUAAUGCCUAGGAAUCUGCCUGGUAGUGGGGGAUAACGUACGGAAACGGGCGCUAAUACCGCAUACUAUCAGAUGAGCCUCGGUCGGAUGAGCUAGUUGGUGGGGUAAAGGCCUACCAAGGCGACGAUACGGAACUGGUCUGAGAGGAUGAUCAGUCACACGUGAACUGAGACACGGUCCAGACUCCUACGGGAGGCAGCAGUGGGGACGAUUGGACAAUGGGCGAAAGCCUGAUCCAGCCAUGCAGCGUGUAUGAAGAAGGUCUUCGGAUUGUAAAGCACGUUAAGUUGGGAGGCAUUACCAACAGAAUAAGCACCGAGUAACUUCGUGCCAGCAGCCGCGGGAAUAG
rnacentral:rRNA from 1 species